CCUCCCAGCCCCCAGCCCCCAGCCCCCAGCCACAACUCCUCUCCUACCCCGACCCCCGGAAUCACUCGGCCCACCCGGGCCUCAUUCAUCCUCGGAAUCUCUACAACCACCAACAAGUGUCAGACCCAGAAGCGUUUCUGAAGCGGCUCGACUGCGAGAAGCUCAGACUGUUCUGGCUAGCUCAGCUUAAGCGGUUCGACGGCGGCGGCGGCGACGCCUGCGGCUGCGUCUGAGAAGCCACGGCAGUACCCAGAAAGUAAAAUCAAUUUUUUUCUGAAGAUGGAAGGGAUUUUAGGGCAGAACAGGCUUGAAGAUGUGAGUUGGCUUUGCUCCCUCUCCGAGUCCGAGCUUGACAUGUUGAUUAGCUUAAAAAGCAUUGUUCUUCAACGUGCAAGAAUGAUUGGGCAUGAGGAACUAGCCAACAAUUUUGAUCUCAAGAUGCUUCGAGCUCUUGCUGUAUAUACGCAUACCUCUGUGUGUAUUACAUUCUGGACUUUGAUGCACAACAAGGGGAUUGGACUUUGAUGCAGUUCAGAAUAUGCUUGAGAUUCGAGCAUUUGUUCUUAUGGAAUGUAUCAGAGAUAAGGUGAAGGAUUUGACACUGGCCGAAUCUGCUGCAUUUAUGGAAAGUUGCAAUCUAUUAAAAUACAACCUUGGUGAUAUUAUGAGUCUUGAAGAGAUAAGGGCAUGUAUUGGGAUCAAUUCGAGAAAGGGUCCAAUAAAAAGGUUAGUGGAGGCAACAAGGCUCAAUAUUGCUUCAUUUUGGGUCACAAAAUGAUGUUUGUGAGUUGUACUUGUUUAUAUGUCUGUGUGAGUUUAUCUUUUCUAUGUAUAGCAUGUGUAUAUGUAUUUGUGCAUCAGGGUGGCUAAUUGUCUUUUCUGUUCCUAGACUGUUCCAUUCACUCGUGGUCCUGGUUUUCAUGCAUUUGGCAUGAAUGUAUGUCUAAAAAUGCAGACAACAAUAGGCUUGCAGAAACAACUAAUGCUUCUUGGUUUUAUGCUGUUGAUAUGGAUUUAUACUUUCUUAAGUCUUAGGAACCAGGGAUAUUCUUGUAAAGUAAAAUUUCCAGAUUUUCUGGAGAUGGGUUCUUGUUGUUGAUCUAUAAGUAAAGUUUUGAGGGUUCAUUGUAUGAAAUUUUCUUCAGUAUCUUAUGAAAUUUACAAUGCAUAUGGUGGUUGCAAAAUUUAAUACUGUUUUUAAAGCGAAUUUAUAUUCUUUUUGGCUUGCUAUUAAGUGGUCGAAAAUGACACCAAUUUCCUUCCCCUUGGCUAACUUGUUCACAUUACAAUGCUGCUCUCUCUCCCAGCACCCAUCAUUCUUGGAACACUAAUCCUUCCCAUGGUUGGCAUAAACAUGAUGUUUCUUUACUUUUCCAGAAGUGUUCUUUCCUGCCAAAAAGACAUGCAAAGGUUUUCAAAGGUCAAAAAUGUGUUGCACAUAUGCAAUGCAUCAGGUAUUACUUUUAGCUCCUUGCCAUCAGUGGAUUAACUGUGGUCACCUUUUUUCUGUACCAGAAGACCACACAAAGAAACAACUAUAAAUCCGAAGAAACAGAAAAGUGAAACCAGCAAAUCAUGAAAGCAAGCGGUGCACAGGUAAAGAGGAUUAGUCACAUAUUUGAAACAAAGCAUUGAGUUUCCAGAGAGCUACUAAACCCUGCCUCUAGAAAAUAGGUUGCAAAAUGUACAGCUGUACUUGAGAAUAUCAUUCACAUAUUUGAAAUUCAUCAUUUUUUUUCUUAGUUAGAUUACAUGUGAAGUCCAAGGUCUAAAUUCCUUGGAAUUUUGAUAUUCAUCUCAUGUAAUUUUACAAAUAUGAAUGCAAGGUUACAUUACAAUUUACAACUUUA